rnacentral:rRNA from 1 species
GAGCGGCCGUAGCAAUACGGCAGCGGCAGACGGGAGAGUAACACGUGGGAACGUGCCCUUCAGUUCGGAACAACCCCAGGGAAACUUGGGCUAAUACCGGAUACGUCCGAAAGGAGAAAGAUUUAUCGCCGAAGGAUCGGCCCGCGUCCGAUUAGCUAGUUGGUGAGGUAAUGGCUCACCAAGGCGACGAUCGGUAGCUGGUCUGAGAGGAUGAUCAGCCUCACUGGGACUGAGACACGGCCCAGACUCCUACGGGAGGCAGCAGUGGGGAAUUUUGCACAAUGCCCGAAAGGGUGAUGCAGCAACGCCGCGUGAGGGAUGAAGGCCUUCGGGUCGUAAACCUCUUUCGAUCGGGAAAAACGGCCCUGUGAAGAGCGGGGUCUGAUGGUACCGGAAGAAGAAGCCCCGGCCAACUACGUG